GGUACCUCACGUGACACUCAAUUUGUGAUAAUGUAGGGGGUUUCCAUCCGAAAAAUGAGGACAGUGUCAUUUGAAUACUAGGAAAUCUACAGCGUGGCAUUUUCAGAGAAGCCGGGCACAGCCUCAGACAGUUUUCCUGGCAGACGUGAACCAGUGGAAGGAGGCCACCAGCAUCUAAAACUUCACAGCGGCCAGCCCCGAACGACAGACAGGGAGGCGGCCACACUUACGUUCUGCGAACACAGAUGGGACAGAAGCCUGGCUUUUGGUGAGACAGUCUUCCCCUGCCCUCGGCCAGGCCCGGCCCCCAUGCUUCUGUGGCUGCUGCUGAUCCUGGCUCCCGGACGACAGUCGGCAGGAGCACUUCCAAAAGCUUUACUUCUCCUCAAACCUCCAUGGUCCACAGCCUUCAAAGGAGAGACAGUGACUCUCUUCUGCAAGGAUCACCAUUCUCUAGCCUGGGAAUAUGUAUCUUGGUAUCACAAUGAGACUCCCUUGAGAAAACAAUCCGGAAAACUCCAAAUAAGCAAGUCUGGACAUUACAGAUGCAAGACCCAAAGAUCUUCCCUCAGUGACCCCGUGCACGUGCAGUUUUUAUCUGACUGGCUGGUCCUCCAGGCCUCACACCCUGCCUUUGAAAGAGAUAAAGUAGUUCUGAGAUGCCGAGGGAAAAAAGAAGAAGAUAUUAUGGAAAGGACUUACUACAAAAAUGAAGAAAAAAUUAGAAGUUCUUAUAACUCAAACAUCACAGUAUAUCCAGCCUUCAACGAUGACAGCACAUAUCACUGUACUGCUUCUGGGACAUAUAUUUGGGGGGGGUCAUGGACAGAAACUUCACGACCUUUAAAGAUCCAAGUUCAAGGUAAUGGCUACACUCCCAUGGGUAAUAGGGCUUGGCAAGGGACCAGCGUGUGGGAUGGAAGAGGGGUGCUCAGCGGUGGGGAUUUCAUGAGCGGCCUCUUCCGAGCAGCCGUGGGAGGGAGACAAGAGGUGGCUCCACCUGCGUGGGUCCCUACCUCUGAUCCUGAGGACACAGGUCCACCUCUCCAGGAGCUCAGAGCCUCACUGCCCCAGGAACUACAUUUGUUCGUCUCUCUAGAGCUGUUUCCGAGUCCUGUGCUGAUAGCCAGCCCCUCCUGGCCCAUCGAGGGGAGCCCCAUGACCCUGACAUGUGAGACCUGGCUCCCUCCACAGACAUCGCACACUAGACUUCAGUUCUGUUUCUUCAAAGAGCACCAGGCUCUGGGGGCCGGCUGGAGCAACUCGCCGGAGCUCCAGAUCCCCACCACGUGGAGUGAAGGCGCCGCCUCCUACUGGUGCCAAGCAAGGACGGUGAUUCCCAGGAUCCUGAAAACAAGCCCACGAUCCCAGAUACGUGUCCAUAGGGUCCCUGUGUCUGAUGUGAAUCUAGAGACCCAGCCCCCUGUGGGCCAGCUGAUUGAAGGAGAAGACCUCGUCCUUAUCUGCUCAGUAGCUGCGGGUACAGGGACUGUCACGUUCUCCUGGCACCGGGAGGGCUCGGAGAGGAGUUUGGGCAGGAAGACCCAGAACGCCCUGUCUGCAGAGCUGCGAAUAGCCUCCGUGAGGGAGCAGGAUGCCGGGAGGUACUACUGUGCGGCCGACAACCUGGAUGGCCCUGUCCUCAGUAAACGGAUCAGAAUCACACUGAGAGUUCCAGUCUCGCCUCCAGUCCUCACCAUCAGGAGGCCCAGAUCCCAGGCUGUGGAGGGGGACGUGGUGGAGCUUCACUGCGAGGCCCAGAGGGGCUCUCCCCCCAUCCUGUACCGGUUUUAUCAUGAGGACGUCCCCCUGGGGAACAGCUCAGCCCCCUCUGGAGGAGAAGCAUCCCUCAACCUCUCUCUGACUGCAGAACAUUCUGGAAACUACUCCUGCGAGGCCAACAACAGCCUGGGAGUUCAGCGCAGUAAGAUGGUGUCCCUCAGCAUCACAGUUCCAGUGUCUCACCCUGUCCUCACCCUCAACCCUGAUGUGGCCCAGGCUAUGGUGGGAGAUGUGUUAGAACUUCGCUGUGAGGCCCAGAGGGGUUCUCCCCCAAUCUUAUACUGGUUUUAUCAUGAGGAUGUCAUCCUGGGGAACACCUCAGCCCCCUUUGGAGGGGGAGCAUCUUUUAACCUCUCUCUGACCACAGAACAUUCUGGAAACUACUCCUGUGGGGCUGACAAUGGCCUGGGGGCUCAGAGCAGCGAGACGGUGUCACUUAACAUCACAGGGCUUUCCAAGAACAAAGUAACCCAUAUCACUGUGGGAGUCAUCGGGUGCUUGCUAAGCAUGCUUGGUCUUGCUGCUACGGCUGCUCUGGUGGGUCGCUUCAGAACCCAAAGGAAGUCAGCCACUGAGAAUACAAAAGCAAUUAAGACAGCUUGCAGCCUCAAGUAACACACUCUUUCAUGGUGGAGAGAUCGAGGGAAACGUACAAAUGGGUAAUUACCAUCCAAUACAGCGAUUCCAAUAUUUCAGGGUUCUCCAUGUGUGGAGAGAGAGGUCAUUUCAUACAGCUUGCUGGGACCAGGCAAAGUCCUGGAGGAAGAAAGAUAAGUUGGAAUCAGCCAAGUGAAAGAGAAAAAGGGGUGUGGAGAAAACAGUAUGUACCCACAGUGGUUGGGUCUGCCAGGGCCCCAGGGACAGAGUUCUGAGCUUGUUAUGGGGGCCCUACUGAUUCACGCCGUGGGGAACUCUGUCUCCCGGUCUCUGUCCCCCAGGGCCACAGACAGGACAGAAAAGAGGAAGUGAGGAAGCACCAGGCCCAGAGUUAAAUACUAAGUUGUCUCUCUUGUGCUUGCUUGGCCAUACCUCCUUAGAGUGCACACUGUUGUUACUCGGUAUGAUUCUGGACAAAUAUCUUUCAAGAUCCCACCUUCCUCACCUGUAACACGACGUGGAGGGUGGGGCCAGAUAUUCCUUAAGAUCUACUGUAGCUGAGAUCUAGAAUGAAUCUGAUUCCCAGGAAAGGACAUUCUAAAGUAGGGCACAUUACUGACACAGCUCACCCGCCAUCAGUGAUCCUUUGUUUUUCUGGAGGGGUUUCGGCCACUGAAGCACCCAGGUGAGGUCUCUGCUUCUUGUGCUGACAACAUUUGCAUGAUUUAUUUACACCCACAAGAUAGGGGCACAGAAUUAUGUGCAUUCAAAGAUAUUUGACUGGACUUCUCAUUAACCUUUUCAAAUUCUCAUGAAAUCCAUAAAUGGGAUUCACGAAAGCUGCUUUCAGUCGUAUUUGUGGAUGCUACUCAGACCUACGUGUCAUUUGCUUAUCCAUGUUAAUCUAUUUCCUUAAAUGUGUUCUGGCAGAGAGCUGACCACUGGCUCCUUAAUGGCACCCUCUUUCGGCUGCGCCUCACUCUUUCCCCAGCUCAUUCCUCCAGUACGCAGUCACUCAGCACAUCAUUUUUGAGUGCUAUCAGUGUUAAAUUCAUAAUAUUUAUCACGGAAGGAAAUAAAAUUGGGGGGAAAAAAACAACCCUUUUCCCGUAGAGCCUUCGGGCUACCUUAUAGGAAAGGUAGAUCAUUGUAACACAAGCUGGAACAUUGAAAGGGACCUUUUACAAAAGACCAAGGUCAGAUUCUAUGGGAACGCCAAAGUCUUUGUGUGUCAACGUCUAAGCAUUUAAAAUUUUGAGAACAAUAGAAAGUUAGGCGAAUACUAGUGUUUCAUGUGUCGGAAAGACCUUGAGACGGUGCACUUUCGCCCUCUGACCUUGCCUCCGUCCACCUUUUCUGCAAUGCGGCCUUGGGUUGCAUCUGGCAUCACGUGCCUUCUGGGUUUUCUUGAGGGAGCCACGCAGACUCUGGCUUCCCUAAGACUCCGUACGAUCCGCCAAUGCUUCUGUCCCUUGUGCCUCUCCCCGUCUGUCACAGGGGCAAUCCCAAGGAACAUCGGGAGCGUUCCUGGCCCAGACCCUCCAGCACAGGCCCUCCAUGGCCCACCCAGUCUGAGCCAGCCAGCCCUAAUGGAGCUACAGCCCUUGUACAGCAACGCACAUUCACCAAGGACGCA